UACGGGGGGAGCAAGCGUUGUUCGGAUUUACUGGGCGUAAAGGGCGCGUAGGCGGCCAGCACAAGUCAGUUGUGAAAUCUCCGAGCUUAACUCGGAAAGGUCAACUGAUACUGUGCGGCUAGAGUGCGGUAGGGGAGACUGGAAUUCCUGGUGUAGCGGUGAAAUGCGCAGAUAUCAGGAGGAACACCGAUGGCGAAGGCAGCUCGCUGGGACGGUACUGACGCUGAGGCGCGAAAGCGUGGGGAGCAAACAGG
rnacentral:rRNA from 1 species